rnacentral:lncRNA from 1 species
ACCUCUUGAUGCGAUGCCACCAAAGCUCAGUAGCAAUAGAUUGGCGUACUAAGUAGCGGCCAAGAUAAAUCAACUUUAAAGAAUUGGUGCACUAAGUAGGGGCCAAGAUAAAUCAACUUUAAAGGAGAAAAUGGCAAGAAUGAAAGCAAGGAAUGCUUCGACCAACUUUGGUUGGCAUUCCUCAUAGUAGGAGGAACAUCC